GGCUUCAUGGUCUAGUGGUGUAAGUUUGCCCUCCUCGCCUCGCUAGCUAGCUACAACGAAUGUAAAACUAAUAUGCACAGAUGAUUCCUGCUUUGGGUUGUUAAACACAAAGUGCAGGAGGCCCCGCGUUCGAAUCGCGGUGGAGCCC